rnacentral:rRNA from 1 species
UACGUAGGGGGCAAGCGUUGUCCGGAUUUAUUGGGCGUAAAGAGCGUGUAGGCGGCCAGACAGGUCCGUUGUGAAAACUCGAGGCUCAACCUCGAGACGCCGAUGGAAACCGUCUGGCUAGAGUCCGGGAGAGGUGAGUGAAACUGCGAGUGUAGAGGUGAAAUUCGUAGAUAUUCGCAAGAACACCAGUGGCGAAGGCGGCUCACUGGCCCGGUACUGACGCUGAGGUGCGAAAGCGUGGGGAGCAAACAGG